rnacentral:lncRNA from 8 species
GGUGAUCACAACAGAUUUCCUAUAUCCUCCACGCUCUGAAAACCAUCUAUCUAGCCGAUGCCUUCACUGCGCCCGUGGGCUCAAUGCUAUGGUGUGGCAUGGAAACGUUGGGUUUCCCACAAAUGUCCCACUGCUUCCCCGCGAAGGCUAGCCUACUACAGAGCCUCACGCUCUCUAAACAAGACAUCUAAUCCAUACGCGUUACGAACUAUAUAAUGUGCAUUAUGUGCCCUCCCACAAUACGUCGCGCAAAAUAGCUGUAGUGCAGUUCAUCAUUAGGAUGGUAAAAGUGGUGGUGAGAGUACCAGCAAAAGACAGCUGGUGCCGCCCACGCCACGAUCUGAUGUCUCCUCCAACAUGGGUAGGUGUGAGGGUAUCCGUCAAAAUCAGAUGUUUCAUGCAUUACGAUACUCAUUUGACUGCAACAUAUUACGCGGCAACAUAUUACAUACAGUGCAUAUGGUUCUAUGAGUUCUAAUAAUGUAAUGAUUUGACCUGCACUGUCAUGCACUCGGCUUUUCAUAACCGUAUCAAAUUAUUGAUUGCUGAUUUGGUGAACCCCAAAAAUGAGCAAAUCAAUGGAUUUAUUUUUUCAAUGAAAGAACCCAGUAUAUAGUAGUUCGAAUGAGGGCAUUUCACCAAGUCAAUACCUGGAGGCGACAGUCCGAACCCAGAGGGACAGUCACAGAUGAAGCGAUCAAGAAAAAGGUAACCGGGAUGCCACAAGGAAACACCAGGGAAGCCACCACCGCGACAACGAAACGCACCUGCGCUUUGAAUGAACUUGGCCCCAGCAGAACAGGCCCAGCUCUAACAGUGGUCUUCUCUACAGGCUGUCCUGCUCCGCUCCCCUUUGGCACCAGCUCCUGCCACAACAAAAGAGGAUUCCUCUGAAGAGUUCCUGCUGGAUACAGAUAAUUUGAAAGAUACCACACACAUACUUGUAUCUUCCAAGCACACCUCUGCCAGCCACAUCACCACUGCCCAUGAUAGCUUCUCCACUGGACCCAUCAAGAGAUGAGGUUGCCUCUUCAUCUUGGACCACGACCGAUGGACAGAGCCCCUUAAAGCUGCCAGUGAUGUCCUACUGGCCAAGCACCAUGGGGAGGAAGAGAUCCUGAAGUGGGUAGAUUUGCUUUGCUCUCAACACCAGCCCAGAGAAGCUCCUAGGGACACACAGCUGUGACAUUAUUUUACUGCAGAGAGUAAAAUGGUCAGUGUCCCAGUCACGUACCCUACCACCUGCACUUACACAGCAGAAAGCCUCACCAAUUCAAGGAUACCAUUUCAGAAUUUUGCUGCCGCUGCCUUCUUUCAAUGGGAGCUGGAGGCCUCGAAGCAGAGGGAGGCAGUGAGGAAGGAGCAAACUGAGGAAAGAGAAAAUCCUUAGAGCAACAUCCCUCUGUCCGUCUGUACAGGUUCUGCCACCAGUCGCUGAAACAAGGCUCCAACAGCCAUCACACACAUACCGGCUUUCCUUGAGUGGCAGGAAAAUAUCUACUGCCUAGCCAAAGUUUUUUCUCUGUACCUGACACAGGGCAUUGGCGGAUGCGCCAACAGUCUGCCUUUUAUGAGACUGAAAAGUAGAGAUGGAUGGUGGGGAAGGGAGAGUGACUGAAAUAAAUAGGAGCUGAAGAUUUCCAUUGAUGGAAGUGGUUUGUAUUUAUUUCACAGGUACUGUCCAUUCUUUUACUUUACUGUACAUACGUUGCUGUAUAUCACUGGAUAUAUUAUCAGGGCUGUAAAGUACUUAGGUAAAAAUACUUUAAAGUACUACUUAAGUAGUUUUUUGGGGUGUCUGUACUUUACUUCAUUAUUUAUAUUUUUGACAACUUUUACUUUUACUUCACUACAUUCCUAAAAAAAAGAUUGUACUUCUUACUCCAUACAUUUUCCCUGGCACCCAAAAGUACUCAUUACAUUUUGAAUGCUUAGCAGGAAAGGAAAAUGGUCCAAUUAACACACUUAUCAGGAGAAUCUCUACUGCCUCUGAUCUGGCGGACUCACUAAACACAAAUUCUUCGUAUGUAAAUGAUGUCUGAGUGUUGGAGUGUGCCCCUAGUUGUCUGUAAAUUUGAAAAAAAAACACAUUGUGUCAUCUGGUUUGCUUAAUAUAAGGAAUUUGAAAUUAUUUAUACUUUUACUUUUGAUACUUAAGUAUAUUUAAAACCAAUACUUUUAGACUUUUACUCAUCUAGUAUUUUACUGGAUAACUCACUUCUACUGAGUCAUUUUCU